rnacentral:sRNA from 1 species
CCCAGGGCUUGCGCCCUGGGCUACUCUCUUUCGCCCCUUCGGGGCU